rnacentral:lncRNA from 1 species
CUCAGCCUCCCAAAGUGCUGGGAUUACAGGUGUGAGCCACCGCACUCGGCCAAGUGUUUUUGUUUGUUUGUUUGUUUUUUGUUUUUUGUUUAAUAGAACAUCCCUAAUCACAGGGAUUGAUUUAAAGAUGUUAUUUUAUGUUAAGUGAAAUAUAGUUAUCUUGAAGUUGCAAUCUGUUGGUCACGGGGAAGAAAAUAUUGCUGAAGAAGGGGAAAUAAAAGCAGAAUUGGUAAAAUAAGGAAAAAUAAAAAUCCAUUAUGAUUAGGAUACCCACGUCUAAACCAUCAUCCGAAUUCUGCCUCAACUAGUCUAUUGACUGUCUUGAGUGAAAAUGGUUGCGGUGAUGAGAUGUAUUUUCCUUCCAUGCUGGAGGAUUUUCUUUCCAUCUGCACUGUUAAAGCUGUUGGGUUAUUUCACCCACUUCCACGUCUGCUGGGCUCUCUCUCUCCAUGUUUGCUGCAUUCCACACAAUUACUGGUAGUGUGUGCCAGAUACAAGCACUGGGGAUAUAGUAACAGAUCAAACAGGCAUCAUUCCCAAUGUGAAACUAUGUUUUUGGACCCACACAGCCAGUUUUUUGUUUGUUUGUUUGUUUGUUUUUGAGACAGCGUCUCGCACUGUCGCCCAGGCUGGAGUGCAGUGGCGUGAUAUUGGUUCACUGCAACCUCUGCCUCCGAUGUUCAAGUGAUUCUCCUGCCUCAGCCUCACGAGUAGCUGGGAUUACAGGCGCCAGCAAUCGCACCUGGCUAAUUUUUUUGUAUUUUUUUUUUUUUAGUAGAGACAAGGUUUCACUAUGUUGGCGAGGCUGGUCUCAAACGCAUGACCUUGUGAUCUACCAGCCUCGGCCUCCCAAAGUGCUGGGAUUACAGGCGUGAGCCACUGUGCCCAGCCACAGCCAGUUGAUUUUUUGCUGCUGUGUAGGUAAACACAAAUACAAAAUGCCUAUUAUAAUCACUAUUUCCAACUCUACUUGCUGAGGUAGUGAUCACGUAACCCCCAACCCGCAGCCCUCUCCAUUUGAUAGGCACUGUGUUUUCUGUUUCUACUUUGGCAGGAAACUCCAAGGAACAGAGGAGCUCAGAGAAGACUAGAACUCUGUAUUCCGUACCCGUAAACAAUUUGUAUAAGCAAAAUAAAACUUUUUAACUUUC